rnacentral:rRNA from 1 species
AGGGUUUGAUCAUGGCUCAGAACGUACGCUGGCGGCACGCCUAACACAUGCAAGUCGAACGAAGUAGCAAUACUUAGUGGCAGACGGGUGAGUAACAUGUAGGUAUCUGCCCUUUGGCCUGGAAUAACACGAGGAAACUUGUGCUAAUACCGGAUAAGUCUUUACGGAGAAAGCUUUAUGCACCAUUGGAUGAGCCCGCACUUGAUUAGUUUGUUGGUGGGGUAAUGGCCUACCAAGACUGUGAUCAAUAGCUGAUUUGAGAGGAUGAUCAGCCACAUUGGGACUGAGACACGGCCCAAACUCCUACGGGAGGCAGCAGUGGGGAAUCUUGCACAAUGGAGGAAACUCUGAUGCAGCGAUGCCGCGUGAGUGAAGAAGGCCUUUGGGUUGUAAAGCUCUUUCGUCGGGGAAGAAAAUGACUGUACCCGAAUAAGAAGGUCCGGCUAACUUCGUGCCAGCAGCCGCGGUAAUACGAAGGGACCUAGCGUAGUUCGGAAUUACUGGGCUUAAAGAGUUCGUAGGUGGUUGAAAAAGUUGGUGGUGAAAUCCCAGAGCUUAACUCUGGAACUGCCAUCAAAACUUUUCAGCUAGAGUUUGAUAGAGGAAAGCAGAAUUUCUAGUGUAGAGGUGAAAUUCGUAGAUAUUAGAAAGAAUACCAAUUGCGAAGGCAGCUUUCUGGAUCAUUACUGACACUGAGGAACGAAAGCAUGGGUAGCGAAGAGGAUUAGAUACCCUCGUAGUCCAUGCCGUAAACGAUGUGUGUUAGACGUUGGAAAUUUAUUUUCAGUGUCGCAGCGAAAGCGAUAAACACACCGCCUGGGGAGUACGACCGCAAGGUUAAAACUCAAAUGAAUUGACGGGGACCCGCACAAGUAGUGGAGCAUGUGGUUUAAUUCGAAGAUACGCGCAGAACCUUACCAACACUUGACAUGUUCGUCGCGACUUUAAGAGAUUAAAGUUUUCGGUUCGGCCGGACGAAACACAGGUGCUGCAUGGCUGUCGUCAGCUCGUGUCGUGAGAUGUUGGGUUAAGUCCCGCAACGAGCGCAACCCUCACUUUUAGUUGCCAUCAUUAAGUUGGGCACUCUGAAAGAACUGCCAGUGAUAAGCUGGAGGAAGGUGGGGAUGACGUCAAGUCCUCAUGGCCCUUACGUGUUGGGCUACACACGUGCUACAAUGGUAUCUACAACAGGAAGCAAGACUGCGAGGUCAAGCAAAUCCUUAAAAGAUACCUCAGUUCGGAUUGCACUCUGCAACUCGAGUGCAUGAAGCUGGAAUUACUAGUAAUCGUGGAUCAGCGUGCCACGGUGAAUGCGUUCCCGGGUCUUGUACACACCGCCCGUCACACCAUGGGAGUUGGUUCUACCUUAAGGC